rnacentral:sRNA from 1 species
CACACACAAGCACAUUUACGCAGGUCUGGCUGAUUACAGGAUAGUAGAUAACAACUGGAGUCCCAACGAGAUCGUUCACCAGAUCCAACUAGUGGAGAUACGAACUAGCAGGCAGGUUUGGGGCGAGAUUCAUUUCAGCGCCCACCAGCUGGAAACCAAUGCCCACAACCUCUUGACAACACUGAAGUCCACCGUCUACACAUCACCCACUUUGACCGACGUCUACAGCUACAGGGGCGGCGUCCCUGCUCCAGCAUCGCCAAACGUUGCGGCGAACGGAGCCGUCCUGGACUGGUCCGGUAGUCCCAAGGCCAACGUUCGCUCCUGGGCAGUGUACAAGAGCACAUCCAACACCUGUACCCUGGUCAAGGUCCUACCUCCAUCCACGACGUCUUACACGGCCAGCAGUAACGGUGACUAUGUGGUCACUGCUGUCAACAGGCUCGGGGUUGAAACGGACAGCAAUCCUGUCACAGUGGUGACCGCUGUAGUGGGAUAAGGUCACUGCUAAUAAUAGAAAUAAAGUUUAGCUCAACAUAUCAAGAAACUAA